CAGCUCCUUCCUUACUUCAUCGUCCCUCGCCCACAACCGGUUUGCCUGAGGUAACCUUCUCUCUACAGAUCUUGUGAUGUGGUUACGUACGUAAUGAUUAGUGAUGAUUAUAUACGGAUAUAUAUUUUUAAACGUCUAUUGUUGAUUUGGAUCUUAUAUUUUGCAAUACCAUACAUCUGCUGCGCAUCGAGGUACUUCAAUAAAUCCGAUGAAGGAUAUGCAUUAGUGCGAUUCCCUAAAGAAGACCAAUAUCAAAAAGCAUGGUCAGAUGCUGUUUGGGGCGAGAAUGCGUCAAAACGUUCCCUGGAAAAUCUUAGAUUGUGUGUAGUACACUUUGAGCCAUCCGUAUUUUUUGGUAGUGGGUCGCCGAAAAGAAAUAAAAAAAUAUAUAUUUUAAAAAUAUUAUUUACAAAAUAAUAUAAAUUCAAUAAAAUUUAAACU